ensembl:snRNA U6 U6 spliceosomal RNA
GUGCUCACUUUGGCAGCACAUAUACUAAAAUUGGAACGAUACAGAGAUUAGCAUGGUCCCUGAACAAGGAUGACACACAAAUUCGUGAAGCAUUCCAUAUUUUU